ACCUGGGUGGCUCAGGCGGUUGAGCGUCUGACUUUGGCUCAGGUCAUGAUAUCACAGUUCGUGGGUUCGAGCCCCGCAUCAGGCU
rfam:Felis catus isolate Cinnamon breed Abyssinian chromosome B4, whole genome shotgun sequence.